GGGUGGCGAUGGAGCUCGGCAGGAGGACCGGGACAAGGAUCGGGGCCAGGACCGGGACCGCGACCGGAGGAGCGAGGCGGCCCCAGGAGCUGGCACUGACCGUGCCGCGGCUCGGGCACAGGCUGCUCCCAGCUCUGCCUGCGGAACUUCGGCAAUUACCGACAGCAGUUCUUUGCCCUGCCAUCCAGAAGGUGCGGCUCAUCUGACACCAGCCAGACGGGGAAGGCCCUGCCUGGGAGGGAAACGGCUACAGGGGAGGAAACCAAGAAAUGCUCCAACCGGAUGGUGCUGCGCGAGUCAAAAGAGGGGCAAGACCGCGGGCAAAUACAGUCAGGAAAUGAGCUUUUAUUCAAUCUCUGCAGGAGCCCUUCGCAGCCACGGGCCGGAGGGAGCGCGGCCGGCUGGGCUGUGCCCGGCUGGGGACGGGCACCAAUUCAUCGCUGCCCUGCUCAGGGAGGUUUUCCGGCCCCGUCCGGGCUUCACCCAACGGCUGCAAAGGUGCUCGUGCGGCAUCCGAGCUCAUUUCCAGGGAUAAAGGAGCCAAACGAGUCCGGAGGGAUCCCUCGCUCCGAGGCAAAGGCGUUUGGUCGAGUGUCGCCGCCUGGUCCCGCCUGCGGGGGAGCGUCUCCUCCAGGUUCUCUUAGAAAGAUCCUGGACAGGAACUCAGACAACAGAACCCAAACACUGCACAAGCAAUAGCAGAAGGUUUGCCAGGAAGAACAGAAGUUCCUUGUUUUCCUUAACGCUCUGGGAGUGUAGGACCCAAUCUUUGCAACCAAGGGACACCAGAGAUGUGAUUAAUACUUAAACCUCUCCCCCAUGGUUCUGUCUCAGAGAACUGGGCCAGCCCUGAGCUACUCCCAGGUGCCUGCAGUGCUUUGGGGAGGGGCAGGACAAUGUCCCACUUCUGCUUGGAAACAUUCCAGAUGAGGAAAAGCCACUUCCCUUCUCUCUCUCUGACCCAGAACCAAAGCAGUCCUGUGGGACAACACGGACUAUGCACGGAAGGCCCAAGUCAGUGGGUGGAAAAAAACUUAAACAAACCAAACCACCCCAAAUUUCAAGAUAAAAACAGGCUGCUUCCUUAAUAGGAACACACCAAACUCAUUGAAGCCAGAGAGGAAAUUACAAACAAACAAACAAACAAAAGACCC